rnacentral:rRNA from 1 species
AUGGCCCCUCUGAUAUACGACAAAAUCCUGCCUAGGAUCACGAAAUCGAAGACAGUGGCUGAUGCUCUCGAAAACAACAGUUGGGCGGGUGACGUUGGUCCGGAUCUCAUAGCGGAUGCGCUGGUUCAAUUCCUUCAUCUUUGGUCGCGAGUUGCGGUGGUGCAGGUCACAGAGAAUAUGGACGAAUUGGUAAAGCAGAGCUGGGAGAAGAACGGUCAGUUCUCAGCUCGUUCGCCAUACGCGGCUAGAUUCAUGGGACUCGAGGUGUCGCAGACGGCGGCAUUCACAUGGGGAUCGCGGGCACCCCUCCAUUGUCGUUUCUUUGCCUGGCUAGCCUUCAAGAACAAAUGCUGGACCUCAGAUCGCCUAGCCUGUCGAGGUCUACCUCAUCAGGACUCAUGCCCGCUAUGCCAGCAAGGGGAGGAGACCAUCCAACAUCUAUUAAUUGACUGCGUGUUUGCAAGGCAAAUCUGGCACUAG